CUUUAAAUGUUGUAUCAUGUAGACAGUGUUUUAAGUUUUGUUUAUGUUUAUUGUUUGUUGAGGCAUGGAGAAGUUUAAAUUGUGUGAUAUUCCAUUUUUAUUUGUUUUUUGUUGUUACUUAAAGUGAUGUUUGUUAGGCAAUGUAGCUGAAUUCCAACAAAAGUUCUGGCAAUCUCAAAGACUGUCACUAGAUCCGUCUCCACAUAUGACACCCUGUGUUACUCCUAUAAAACAUUUUGAUAAUUUUACCACUCAAUCCUGGACUGGUGAUUGUCCCUUAUCCAACCAUAAAACAUUAAUAAAUAAAAAUA
rnacentral:lncRNA from 1 species